rnacentral:misc_RNA from 1 species
GAAAUGCGAUAAGUAAUGUGAAUUGCAGAAUUCAGUGAAUCAUCGAAUCUUUGAACGCACAUUGCGCCCGCCAGUAUUCUGGCGGGCAUGCCUGUUCGAGCGUCAUUACAACCCUCAGGCCCCCGUGCCUGGCGUUGGGGAUCGGCGGAAGCCCCCUGCGGGCACAACGCCGUCCCCCAAAUACAGUGGCGGUCCCGCCGCAGCUUCCAUUGCGUAGUAGCUAACACCUCGCAACUGGAGAGCGGCGCGGCCACGCCGUAAAACACCCAACUUCUGAAUGUUGACCUCGAAUCAGGUAGGAAUACCCGCUGAACUUAAGC